CCUACGGGAGGCAGCAGUAGGGAAUCUUCCGCAAUGGACGAAAGUCUGACGGAGCAACGCCGCGUGAACGAUGAAGGCCUUCGGGUCGUAAAGUUCUGUUGUCAGGGAAGAACAAGUACCGGAGUAACUGCCGGUACCUUGACGGUACCUGACCAGAAAGCCACGGCUAACUACGUGCCAGCAGCCGCGGUAAUACGUAGGUGGCAAGCGUUGUCCGGAAUUAUUGGGCGUAAAGCGCGCGCAGGUGGUUUCUUAAGUCUGAUGUGAAAGCCCACGGCUCAACCGUGGAGGGUCAUUGGAAACUGGGGAACUUGAGUGCAGAAGAGGAUAGUGGAAUUCCAAGUGUAGCGGUGAAAUGCGUAGAGAUUUGGAGGAACACCAGUGGCGAAGGCGACUGUCUGGUCUGUAACUGACACUGAGGCGCGAAAGCGUGGGGAGCAAACAGGAUUAGAUACCCUGGUAGUCCACGCCGUAAACGAUGAGUGCUAAGUGUUAGGGGGUUUCCGCCCCUUAGUGCUGCAGCUAACGCAUUAAGCACUCCGCCUGGGGAGUACGGCCGCAAGGCUGAAACUCAAAGGAAUUGACGG
rnacentral:rRNA from 1 species